UGUGACGCUACACUUAUCAUGUGACCGAGUCUUCUACUCGUAAAACUCAUAAGUAAGGGUUGCUAUCUUUGUUAUCUAAUAUCAAGUUUAAGUUUAGGUUUAGACAAUCAAACAUGUCGCUAGGACCUGCAUUGUUGAUCAGCUUUCUGCUACUGGGAAUUUCUAUUUUAUAUGGCGAGACAACAGACUUGGACGCAAGUUGUACACCCCCAGUUGGCCAAGUGGCAGAUGAAUGUACGGUAGCCAAUUCGGAAUGUAAAACUGACACGUGUGUUUGCAAAACCGGGUUCAUUAAAGAAAAUGGAGCAUGCCCAAAAGGUAAAUUCUCUAUUAUUAUAUGUUGCAUAUAACAAAUCUAGUACAUUCGGUAACAGUCAUUUGAUAGACCUCA